rnacentral:rRNA from 1 species
CGUGCUUAACACAUGCAAGUCGAACGAGAACGGAUAUUAGCUUGCUAAUAUUGUCAGCUAAGUGGCGCACGGGUGAGUAAUAUAUAGUUAAUCUGCCUUAGAGAUAGGAAUAAUUGUUGGAAACGACUUGUAACUCCUAAUAUGCCUUUAAUACAUAAGUAUGCAAGGGAAACAUUUAUGGCUCUAAGAUGAGACUGUACAGUAUCAGAUAGUUGGUGGGGUAAUGGCCUACCAAGUCAAUGACGCUUAACUGGUUUGAGAGGAUGAUCAGUCACACUGGAACUGAGACACGGUCCAGACUCCUACGGGAGGCAGCAGUGGGGAAUAUUGCACAAUGGACGAAAGUCUGAUGCAGCAACGCCGCGUGGAGGAUGACACAUUUCGGUGCGUAAACUCCUUUUAUAUGAGAAGAUAAUGACGGUAUCAUAUGAAUAAGCACCGGCUAACUUCGUGCCAGCAGCCGCGGUAAUACGAGGGGUGCAAGCGUUACUCGGAAUCACUGGGCGUAAAGAGAAUGUAGGCGGUUAAUUAAGUUAGAAGUGAAAUCCUAUGGCUCAACCAUAGAACUGCUUCUAAAACUGAUUAACUAGAAUAUGGGAGAGGUAGAUGGAAUUUCUGGUGUAGGGGUAAAAUCCGUAGAGAUCAGAAGGAAUACCGAUUGCGAAGGCGAUCUACUGGAACAUUAUUGACGCUCAGAUUCGAAAGCGUGGGGAGCAAACAGGAUUAGAUACCCUGGUAGUCCACGCCCUAAACGAUGUACACUAGUUGUUGCUAUGCUCGACAUAGCAGUAACGCACCUAACGGAUUAAGUGUACCGCCUGGGGAGUACGGUCGCAAGAUUAAAACUCAAAGGAAUAGACGGGGACCCGCACAAGCGGUGGAGCAUGUGGUUUAAUUCGACGAUACGCGAAGAACCUUACCUGGCCUUGACAUAGAUAGAAUAUAGCAGAGAUGUAAUAGUGCUAGUUUACUAGAGCUAUCAUACAGGUGCUGCACGGCUGUCGUCAGCUCGUGUCGUGAGAUGU